rnacentral:misc_RNA from 1 species
AAGUCGUAACAAGGUUUCCGUAGGUGAACCUGCGGAAGGAUCAUUAAACAAGUAAGCCGGUAGACCUAGGUAGACCGGCAAACUUCCAACCUGUGUAAACUAUUUUGUACCAUCUUUGGUGGGGCGUGGCUUCUGCCACCUCUAGUAGUCUCUACCGGAGCGUCCUUGCCAGAGAGCCCAUCAAACCAUUCAAGCUGAGUAGAUAUUGAACUUAUGAAAACUUUCAACAACGGAUCUCUUGGUUACC